rnacentral:rRNA from 1 species
UCCGUAGGUGGAUAAUUAAGUCAGAGGUGAAAUCCUGCAGUUCAACUGUAGAAUUGCCUUUGAUACUGGUUAUCUUGAGUUAUUAUGAAGUAGUUAGAAUAUGUAGUGUAGCGGUGAAAUGCAUAGAUAUUACAUAGAAUACCAAUUGCGAAGGCAGAUUACUAAUAAUCAACUGACACUGAUGGACGAAAGCGUGGGGAGCGAACAGGAUUAGAUACCCUGGUAGUCC